rfam:Enterobacter cloacae SCF1, complete genome.
AGGCGACUUAGCCUGCAUUAAUGCCAACUUUUAGCGCACGGCUCUCUCCCAAGAGCCAUUUCCCUGGACCGAAUACAGGAAUCGUAUUCGGUCUCUUUUU